rnacentral:lncRNA from 10 species
CCUCCUUACACCAAAAGCACAAUAAAAGAAAAAUAUAGAUAAAUUGGUUAUCAGCAAAAUUAAAAACUAUUGUAAUACAAAGGACAAAGUCAAGAGAGGAAAGACAACCUAUAAAAUGAGACAAAGGUUUUUUCAAAUUAUGUAUUUGAUAAGGGACUUGUAUCCAGGAUAUACAAAUAACUAGUACAACUCAAUAAUAAAAAGACAAAUAACCCCAUUUAAAAAUGGACCAAGGAUUUGGAUACAUAUUUCACCAAAGAAGAUACACAAAGGACCAGUAAGCAUAUAAAAAGAUGUUCAGCAUCAUUAGCCAUCAGGGAAAUAUAAAUCAAAAUCAUAAUGAGACACCACUUCAUACCCACUAGGAUAGCUAUAAUCAGAAAGUCAGAUAACAACAUGUAUUGGUAAGCCUAUGGAAAAUUGGAGCUCUCAUAUACUGUUGGUAGGAAUAUAAUAUGAAUAGCCACUUUGGAAAACAAUAUGGCAGUUCUCAAAUGGUUAAACUUACAGUUAUACAAUCCAGCAAUUCCACUCCUAGUUAUAUACCCAAAAGAAAUGAAAACACAUGUUCACAAGACAACUUGUACAUGAAUGUUUAUAGCAGCACUAUUCACAAUAGUCAAAAAGUGGAAACAACAAAAAUGUCCACCAACUGAUGACUGGAUAACCAACUGUGGUAGAUCCAUACAAUGGAAUAUUAUUUGACAAUAAAAAAAGAAUUAAAACACUGAUAUAUGCUGCAACUUGGAUGAACCUUGAAAACAUUAUACUAAGUGAAAGAAGCCAGACACAAAGGACCACACAUUGUAUGAUUCCAUUUAUGUGGAAUGUCAAAAAUAGGUAAAUCUAUAGAGUCAGAAAGUAGGUUUCUGGUUAGUGGGUUUCCUACGGCUGGAUGGGGAAUGAGGAGAUUGGGGGUGACAGCUAAAUAAGCUUUAAAAAAAUACCUCCUUUAUCUAGAAACAGAUAAAUGAUAUUGCUACAAUAUCUCUUGUAGCAAGAUAUUGGUAAGCCUGCAAGUUGUUUCAAACUCAAUCUCAUGAGUUCUUACACAUUUGUGUACUCACCUGUCCCUGGUAGUGCAGAAGCUCUGAAUUUAGCCUCAGAAGCACUAGGUUUUGUGUCUUGUAUUCCUCUUACUAGAUGGCAUUGAGAAACUCACUUAACUUUUCCAAGUCUUAUUAGACAGAGAUCAUAAUAACUAACUCACAGACAUAUUGUAACUAAAUGAUACGACAUUGGUCAGAAGGCUUAUCAACUGUAAAUUACUAUACAAAUGUAAGUGGUUGCUAUUGUCAGUUCUAUAGACUCGGGGUCUUGAGAAGUCAGGCCCAAAGAGACCUGACUUGAAUCACUCAAUUAUACCAAAUUCAGGAGCCAAAAUAUUUUUUCCCAUAAGUUAUUGGGAUACAGGUGAUAUUUGCUUGCAUGAGUAAGUUCUUCAGUGGUGAUUUGUGAGAUUUUGGUGCACCCAUCACCCGAGCCAAAAUCUUAAUCUACGGUGAGAAAUCACACUGCCAAGCAGAUCAAAUCAUGUCAGUCUCUCUACUCAGUUCCUUCCAAGGAAAGAAAUCUAUUUGGGAAACCCAAUUACCAUCAGAAGGUUGCUUAGACAGUGUAAAAUCAGGGCCAAGGAGCUGGAUUAUCCUGGGAGCAUUAUGAAGAUAAAGCAAACUAAUGGAUCACUUUCCUCCCCUGUGGGGAUAAAUCUGUCAAACAGACCAAACAUCCUUCUUUCUUUAAUGCAGUAGACUGCUCAUAAAUCCACCCUUACACCUCUAUUUUUCCAGGUAAUAUUCCUCCCACUCUGAUUAUGUAUAACUACCUCCACUUCAGCACUCUUCAUUUGACACAUUGUUAUAACAAGCCAAUUCCCAAUUUCCAACUCCUUUUGUAUUUAUUGCAUUUUUCAGUAGACUGCUUUCCUGGUGACAAUUUGUGACAUAGAAUUCCUUACGGUCUCUAUAGAAACUUUGAUCUAAGCAUUUCCCAGAGAAAGCUAAUCUCACUAUAUGGUGUGGCUUCUUUUCUGAUCCAGUUGUCUUGUCUUCUUCCAAACAACUUAUCUCCAACUUGAAAAGUACUCUACAAGUUUGAAUUAUUAUGAUCACUGUUAGUUAUGCAGGUCAAUACCUUAAUGCUUGGUUACCAUGGAAUGAUUAGAACCUUCUGGUAAAACACAGUCCUCAAUGACUCUAGCUUUUCUGCCUUCCUGGCAAACACAUACUACUGUUUUAAAAAAUCAGCUUUGCUUGGAAAAAAAAAAAUGUCUAUGGUUAUAAAAAACAUUCAAGUCAUUGGACCAUUGUUACUCUCACUGAAAGUUCUCUACUAUUCUAAAAUUAAAAUGUAGUUAUUAACAGAUUUACUGAGUGUGUCCAGAAAUAAAGAUAUUAUUAUUGAUCUCACAUGGCAUAGUGGAGAGAAGGUGGAUUUCAGAAUCAGAGAGUUGGUUUGAUAUUCUGACACAGCCUCUUAUGAGUAAUGUGUCUUGGUCCAGUUACUUAACCACUCUGAAAUUCACUUUCUUUAUCCAUUAUAAAUAUCUCAUUGAGGGUGUCCUGCAACCAUGAAAAAUAAAGCAAGACAGCAAGCAAAGUAAUUGGUAUGUUGUAGGUACAACAUAAAAGAUAGCUAUUAUUAUUGGGGCCUUUGCAUUCUUUAAAGAGGCCUCUAUCUUUGUGAGCUUAAAAUCAGUAUUGGUCUUGGCUUGCUAGGUAACCUUCAGAAAACCUGGGUCUUUCUGUUCAUUAUUUGAAAAGUAAAGGGAAAAUGACAUUUUUCAUGUUUAAAAGUAAUAACAGUGUGGUUACAUAAGUUUUUCUCAGCCCACUGAAAUUUUUUCUUACAUAUUUCAAAAAAAUGUCUCAAUGCAUUAUAGAACCUAAGUAAGGUUUAUAGGGCAGACGCUUAAGAAAUGACCUUCUAUGUGGAGAAACACAAACAGUAUCUGUAUGAAUUUUCUCAUCUGAUCUCACCUACUAUUUCAGGAGAGAGAGUAGCUCACAGCAUUACAGACCUCUGACUUCAAAGCCUCUUAGUUUUAAAACUGCUGUUUGACUUGGAAAAACCAUGGUCGGAUGCUUAGGCUUUUAAAAAAUCAAACACCAUUUAAAAGUCCUGGUAACUGCAUUCCCUGGGUUUUAUAACCUGAUUCUUUUCCAGAAAGGAAAGAAUGAUCUGUGAAAGGAAUACUAUGUAAUGAAGCAUUUUUAGUGAGUCAAAUUUUUUACUUUCUAAAAGUGCUCUGAGUGUUGAUGACACUAGUGCAACUCUUCCACUGAAUAAAACAGAUGCAGAAAACAGAAAAAUCUAAGAGGAGAGGCCUGGUGCAGAAUACCAAAUAUAAGACAGUCCUAAAUGAAGCAAAGGGAGUUUUUCAAAUUUCUUCUUUUUAAGAUGAUGUUCUCUGGGUUCUUUAUGUUCCUGGGCUGGCCUUUCAGGUUUCUUGAGCCUGUCCUACCCCUGCCAUAGCAUCUCAGUCACUCAAAGGAAUAUUGCCUCCUUUUCUUCUAUUGACCCCUUAUAUUAGUCUGCUAGGGCUGCCAUAACAAAAUAUUAUAGCCUGGGUGGCUUAAACCACAGAAAUUUAUUUUCUCACAGUUGUUGAGGCUAGAAACCCAUGAUCGGGUGUCAGCAUGGUCAAGUUCUAGUGAGGGCAUUAUAGAUGUCCUUGCUUCUCUAUGUCCACCAUCUCCCAGUGUGGUCUUGUGACCUCUUUGCGCAUACAUAGAGAACGGAAGCAAGCUCUCUCUGAUGUCUCUUCUUAUAAGGUCACUAAUCUCAUCAAGACUCAUGACUUCCUCAUAACCUAUUACCUCCCAAAAUGUUCCACCUCUAAAUAUCAUCAAGUUGGAGGUUAGAGCUUUACCAUGGGAAUUUGGGGUAGAAAACAAUUCAGUCUAUAGCACUCCUCUAAACCUCUCCCUACCAUAUCACUUUACUGAAAUUUAAUGGCUUCAUGGUUUAUUCUGCUUUAUAGUGUGACAGUCACCAGAUAAAGUGAACUGAUACACUUAUGGAAGUUAAGUAGAAAAGUUAAACCCCACAUCAGGUUUAAAGUCUGAAUACAAAAGGGUCAAUGGCUUAUUGUGCAAAAGGUUUUACAUAAUAACUUUACUUUAAUGAAUUUGCCAAUAUUCAGAGAUUGGUCUUCAGUCUUCCAGACUCAGAAAUCAGAUUUUUGUAGAUCCAGCUUUCAGAAUCCAACCUCUAAUGAGAAAAUUCACAUUUACAUAGCUCACAAAACUUUUGUGCAAAUAAGAAUGCCAAUACAUUUGUAGACAAUGAUAAAUAAAAGCUCUCUCACACACGAGGAUAUUCACAUUGACACAGACUCCAAAUUCUAAUGUGUUCUUCUUGGAAAGUCAGCUUAUAAUCAGAAAGCUGCUUGCUAAACAAGAAUUCAGAGGACAAGAGAUUAUCUGCCUAAUUAAAAUGUCUAGUAUCAUGAGGCUAAGAAAGCCUGAUCUAUCUGACCUCACUGUAGAAAUAUCCUUAAACCUAAAGGAUCAUGAGAAACAGUCGAUUGGCAGGACCUUCUCUUCCUGAAGUAUGCCCAGAUUGGCCCUCCCAAGUCACUCUGAUGUGCCACACUUCUGUUGCUAAAUUAUAUCAUGGAUGAUGAAAUUCUCCAGUCUUGCUCAGGCCUGGGAGCCACUGCACCUCUUUCAUAAGGAUAUUAUAAUGUGAGAGUUCAGGACAAGGGCUUGAGAGCUAGACGAUCUCAGUUCUGCCACUUUCUGGCCGUGUGACCUUGAGGACUUCAUUGAAAAUGUCCUAAACAUCAGUUUCCUCCAUUGCAAUAUUAAGAAUAUAACCUCAUUUAAUUUGCAAAAUUGUCAUAAGGAUUACAUAUGUAAUAUUUUUCACAAAUUAGCCAUUGUAAAUACUAAAAAAACUUACCUAUUAUUUAGCGGGAAUUUACAAAUCUGUUUAAAUUCAUUAUCCGAUUUUAUAGUGUGACUCCCAGGGCACAAUCUCAUUUGUCUUAUUUCCAACUUCCUUGCAGCUGUGGUUUAUCUCAUAUUUGCUCCUGGAACCUAUCUAUCAUACUGAUUAUAGAAACAUGUGAGUAACUCUUUCUAGAGUACACACUGACUUUUCUGUCCAGUGACAGAGGGCUGCAGGAGAUACCAUUACUUACCACUUUUCUAGGACAGAAGUGGAGAGUUCAGGCCACAAAGAGAGAACAUCACUGUGGAAAGUUUGUGAUAGUGCUGAAAAGAGGCAACAGAAGACACUAUAGAGGUGGCAUGUGGACAGCAGUUGGAAAGAGAAAGUACAGAAAGAAGUUAAAAGUAUGCUAGAAAAAACAGUAAAUGAAGAAAUGACAGAGGUGCCAAAGCCAGGUGAAGUGAAGAGGUAUCAUGAGGCAGAAGUGUCUUCCUACUCUGAGCGGGAUCCCAGGACCAGCAGCAUCAGCAUUCCCUGAGCCUCAUCCCAGACCGACAGAAUCUGCAUCUGCAUGUAAAAAAGAUUCCCGGGUAAUUUGCAAGGAUAUUGAAGUUUGAGAUGCUGUGGUGGUGUGGUUUAAAGCUUGAGGUCUGGAAUUAGAAGGCCCAUUUCAAGUAUCUGUGCCUCUCAUUAGCUAUGUGGCCUUGUACAAGUUAUUAUUAUUUCCACCCCUAAUAGGUAGAGAUGAAUCUAUGCUAAACACUUAGAAAAUGCCUGGCAAAUAAUACUAUCAUUCUUUUUUAAAAAAUAAAUGCCCAUGCACAAACUGUUAAGAUAACUUCCUCAGAUACAUUCUUAGCCAGUCUCUUGAACUGAUCCACUGUGAUUAUAGCCCAUGCCCGCCCCCAACAAUUCCACCCAUAAAAGAAAAGAAAGACGCCACAACUCCUGGC